rnacentral:lncRNA from 1 species
AUUUUUUCCAUAAGACAAGAUUCACAAGUACCUAAUGAUUCAUAAUCAUAAGGAUCAAAGAACUCUUCUUUCUAUAACUUGUUAAUCCUUGUCUCACUUAUAUGACCAAGUCGACAAUACCAAAGUAAAGUAUUAUUCAACUCUUCUCUCUUUCGCUUUUUACUUUCAUUAAUAUGGAAAACAUUAUCAUUAGAUAGAAUUAGAAGACCAUAAUUAAUAACGCCAUGACAGAUAAUUUCAUUAGAAAAAAAAAUUGAGCAACUAUUGCUCUUUCCAUUUAUUUCAUAACCUCGUUGCAAUGGUAACGAUACAGAAAUAAUAUUUCUAAUGAUCUUACGCAUAUAAUAAUAGUUUUCUAGCUCUAAGAUCUUUUCAGAAGGUAACUUUAACAUAUAUGUCCCUACAGCCUCUGCUUGGAUUGACUCUAAUGUUCUGCAGCCCCUGUAACGACUUGCAGAUAUGAGAACCACAGGCAGUAUCCAAUACCCAAGAGUCUGAAUUGGAAGAACUUAAUGACAAAAUUGUAUGUAUCUCAUACAUACCUUUUGCUGCAUCGCUUGCACCUGCCUUUAUAGUUGCA